UCCUACGGGGGGCAGCAGUAGGGAAUCUUCCACAAUGGACGAAAGUCUGAUGGAGCAACGCCGCGUGAGUGAAGAAGGGUUUCGGCUCGUAAAACUCUGUUGGUAGUGGAGAAAGAUAGAGGGAGUAACUCGCCUUUAUUUUACGGUAAUUACUUAGAAAGUCACGGCUAACUACCUGCCAGCAGCCGCGGUAAUACGUAGGUGGCAAGCGUUGUCCGGAUUUUUUGGGCGUAAAG
rnacentral:rRNA from 1 species